UACGUAGGGUGCGAGCGUUGUCCGGAUUUAUUGGGCGUAAAGAGCGUGUAGGCGGCCAGGUAGGUCUGGUGUGAAAACUCGAGGCUUAACCUCGAGAUGUCAUCGGAAACCAUCUGGCUAGAGUCCGGAAGAGGAGAGUGGAAUUCCUGGUGUGGCGGUGAAAUGCGCAGAUAUCAGGAGGAACACCGGUGGCGAAGGCGGGUCUCUGGGCCGAUACUGACGUGAGGAGCGAAAGCGUGGGGGAGCGAACAGG
rnacentral:rRNA from 1 species